GAAUCGUUUAAUCGCCCUCGUCACCUCGUUUUAGUUUCGCUCUUUCUCAGUGUCUUCAGCUCCUCCCUCGUCGGCUUCAACCACAACUUCUAAUCUUCACACUUGGCAUCUCCCCAGUGCCUGUGCAGGCUCAGAAAGCAGAAGUGGUUCCUUUGCUGCUGGUGGGUGCACACUUUAAAAUCCAGAGUGUUUUUUGGCGAUUGCAUGCGAUACUUGCCUUUGCACAGUUGUGGGUUGUACUUUUUUUAUAUUUGAAGGAUUAACAAUCAUUUGUGGACCAGCUAUCAUGCAAGUCUUCUACCUGGGAUGUAUUAUAUUCUUCUAUGGUAUGAAAGAUUUUAAUCCUGAUUUUAUGGUUGCAAUGAAUAACCUGAGUGCCCUCAAUUUUAUAUUUUUACUUUUGACUGAUCUUUUAAUAUUUGGAUAUUUCUGAGCUAAUGCGGUUGAAAAUCUUCUCUUAGUCUAUUUUACAGUUUUUCCAAAGCUAAGAUUGAUGCACUGAUUGAGUUACUAGCCCCUCAUUGUACUUUUUACAGCUAUAUUUGUGUAACCAUGCUGAAAUAAUGCAACAAAAAGGGACAAUAGAAAACAUUUUUGAGACACAUGUUUCUGCCUGAUAAAAUCUUUUCUCUCAUGACCCCCUCUUAUCCCAGGGGUUUGGAGUCAGGCCCCUUACAGGGUGACUUACCCCUCGAAGAGUGUCUGUGCUUUGAAGGGGUUCUCAGUGGUCCUUCUCUGCUCUUACUACCCUGGACCUUAUGGCAUCCGAGAAGGCCACUGGUACAAAGUCAACGUCUCUAAUGGUGAUCCGAAGGAUCUGAGAUGGGAGCCAGAGUACAGAGACCGAGUCUGGAUCCCUUAUUCUGACACCUCCUGUGAUCUUCAUAUGACAACUCUAACAGAAAGUGACGCCGGCGUUUACUACUUCGGAUUUAAAGCAUUGGCGUCACCACACGGGGAACAACAGCAUGGAUUCAUGGAUCGCCGGGAAUUGCUCUCGUGGUCUCAGAUGCUCAACUGAAGGUGGAUCCUACAUCAGUCACACAAAGGUGGAUAAAUGUAACCUGUUCCACCUCCUGUAGCCUGGGUCCUAAGGCUUACUACACAUGGUACAGGAAUGGAAAAUAUCUAAAGUAUACUGAUGGGGCUUCCAUAGUCAUAGACUCAGCUGGUGGCUCUGAGAGUCAGGGUAGUUACUGGUGUGAAGUCAGAGCUGCUGGCAACCGACUAACAUCCUCUGCAGUGUGUGUUUUGGGUCCGGAGUGCUGGGGUGUGACCUACAGCAGUGAGGCAAUCUGUGGCUUAAAGGGGUCAUCAGUGGUCAUGUCCUGCUAUUACAAAUACCCUGGGGGUCGUCAGUUCGAAGGAGGACACUGGUACAAAGAAAGCCCUUCCAGUGGAGAGCCAGAGCCCCUGAGUUUGGACCCUCGGUUCAGAGGCCGACUGGAGACCACCUCAUCUAACUGCAGCCUGACAAUAGAGGAUCUGAGAGACAGUGA